GACGAACGCUGGCGGCGUGCUUAACACAUGCAAGUCGAACGGAAAGGCCUCUUUCGGGGGGUACUCGAGUGGCGAACGGGUGAGUAACACGUGAGUAACCUGCCCUUGACUUUGGGAUAACUUCAGGAAACUGGGGCUAAUACCGGAUAGGAGCUCCUGCUGCAUGGUGGGGGUUGGAAAGUUUCGGCGGUUGGGGAUGGACUCGCGGCUUAUCAGCUUGUUGGUGGGGUAGUGGCUUACCAAGGCUUUGACGGGUUGCCGGCCUGAGAGGGUGACCGGCCACAUUGGGACUGAGAUACGGCCCAGACUCCUACGGGAGGCAGCAGUGGGGAAUAUUGCACAAUGGGUGGAAGCCUGAUGCAGCAACGCCGUGUGCGGGAUGACGGCCUUCGGGUUGUAAACCGCUUUCGCUCAUGACGAAGCUUUGUGUGACGGUAGUGGGUAAAGAAGCACCGGCUAACUACGUG
rnacentral:rRNA from 1 species